ensembl:misc_RNA Metazoa_SRP Metazoan signal recognition particle RNA
GCCAGGCAUGGUAGCACGUGCCUGCAGUCCCAGCUACUCGGGAGGCAAAGGUGGGAGGAUUACUUGAGCCCAAGAGUUCUGGGCUGUAGUGUGCUAUGCUGAUCGGGUGUCCGCACUAAGUUUGGCAUCAAUAUGGUGACCUCCUGGGAGCAGAGGACCACCAGGUAGCCUAAGGAGGAGUGAACCAGCCCAGGUCAGAAACGGAGCAGGUCAAAACUCCCAUUCUGAUCAGCAUUGGGAUCGCCUGCACCCCAGCCUGAGCAACAUAGCAAUACACUGACUCUU